UCCUGCAUCGCUGCCAGCGGCUCGUUUGUAUCAGUGCUCUUACCACUUCGCUCUAAUAUUAGUGUAUUUUAUUGUCGUUGCUAACUUAUCCUGAUAUCUCAAUAACCCUGUUCUUGUUAUCUACUUGAAGAUUCUAAACCAAAAGUGAUAGUUAACUUAACGCCGUUAGCAUAGCAAUAGCGUGUUAGCUUGCUUUCUGUUUACACUGUGGAAUAUCAUCUUGCCUCUGGUUUGUCUUGUGUGCUAACUGUUUCUCUUUUUAAGCGAGUAUACUACGAUCCAUCGAGCAACCUUGGUUACCACAGCGAGCAGGAUGCAGUUCAUGGCCUGACCUGAUGGUAGAGCGGAGAAUGGGAAGUGGGGACCUGACAAGAGCUGAGAUGAUAGAGCUGGAUAAAGAAGGACGCGGUCUCUUGACAUGUCUUCACCACAAAACUUCAAAUGCUAUUAGAUUAUUAAUGAUAAUCUUAAACUAUAAUUUAUUUUAUUAUUAAGUUUAUUUAUUUUAUUUAGCCUUGUUGUGCAAGUUCUCUGGAGCUUGUGCAGAGGCAGCAGCUUUUGCCAGAGGGGAACUGGAAUCCCCUGGUUGGGCCUGGGUUCUCCUGAGGUUUUUUUUCUCGAUUAGAGUUUUGGGUUCCUCGCCACCGUUUGCAUACUGUUUUUGCACUAUCUGCCUGACCGGGGGGGCUGCUUUAGAAUCUUAAAGUUUUACUUAAUUAAUAUUGCAUAUAGGAAUUUAUAGUCUGUUAUAUUUGACCUGUGCUUCUCUCUCCUUAUCCUAAAUGUGUGCUCUCACUGAGCGUGUGUGCGUACUUGUCCGUGUACGUACGUGUGUGUGUGUGUUGUGUGUGUGUGUGUGUGUGUGUGUGUGUGCGUGUGUGUGUGUGUGUGUGUGUGUGUGUGUGUGUGUGUGUGUGUGUGCGUGUGCGUGUGUUGGCAUAUGUGGUUUAUGAGACCAAUUUUCAGGUUUACAUACCAGCAUUACGAGACCAUUCGGUUUAAGAGGCCAGUUUUGAUGGUCUCAUAAUUCUAAACUUUUAAAUUGUUUUAAAAAAUGCUUCAAAUGAUAUUUAUUGAAUAUAAAUACAUGAAUGAUGGUUGCAUAAAUAGCUUUAAUAGUUUAUAUUGUUAUUU